rnacentral:SRP_RNA from 1 species
UAAUUAGCCCACUGCAAUUGAGUAUGUGAACAACGCUUCAGGGUAGGAAUACAGCAGAGCAUUUAUAUACUUGGUGUGCCAUUGGUCUCUGAUUAAGG